rnacentral:rRNA from 1 species
UGGGGAAUAUUGGACAAUGGGCGAAAGCCUGAUCCAGCCAUGCCGCGUGUGUGAAGAAGGCUCUAGGGUUGUAAAGCACUUUCAGUAGGGAGGAAAAGUUAGUAGUUAAUACCUGCUAACCCUGACGUUACCUACAGAAGAAGCACCGGCAAACUCCGUGCCAGCAGCCGCGGUAAUACGGAGGGUGCGAGCGUUAAUCGGAAUUACUGGGCGUAAAGCGCGCGUAGGUGGCCUGCUAAGCAGGAUGUGAAAGCCCCGAGCUCAACUUGGGAACUGCAUCCUGAACUGGCAAGCUAGAGUAUAGUAGAGGAUAGUGGAAUUUCUGGUGUAGCGGUGAAAUGCGUAGAUAUCAGAAGGAACAUCAGUGGCGAAGGCGACUGUCUGGACUAAUACUGACACUGAGGUGCGAAAGCGUGGGGAGCAAACAGGAUUAGAUACCCCCGUAGUCC